GAUGAACGCUGGCGGCGUGCCUAAUACAUGCAAGUCGAGCGAACGGACGAGAAGCUUGCUUCUCUGAUGUUAGCGGCGGACGGGUGAGUAACACGUGGAUAACCUACCUAUAAGACUGGGAUAACUUCGGGAAACCGGAGCUAAUACCGGAUGAUAUUUUGAACCGCAUGGUUCAAAAGUGAAAGACGGUCUUGCUGUCACUUAUAGAUGGAUCCGCGCUGCAUUAGCUAGUUGGUAAGGUAACGGCUUACCAAGGCAACGAUGCAUAGCCGACCUGAGAGGGGGAUCGGCCACACUGGAGCUGAGACGCGGUCCAGGCUCCUACGGGAGGCAGCAGUAGGGAAUCUUCGGCAGUGGGCGAAAGCCUGACGGAGCAACGCCGCGUGAGUGAUGAAGGUCUUCGGAUCGUAAAACUCUGUUAUUAGGGAAGAACAUAUGUGUAAGUAACUGUGCACAUCUUGACGGUACCUAAUCAGAAAGCCACGGCUAACUACGUG
rnacentral:rRNA from 1 species